rnacentral:lncRNA from 1 species
GCGCCUGCCUUGCCCGGUCCGCCCUGUCUUCCAGCAGGGCGGGGCCCGGCUCCGGUUGUUCCGCCACGUUUGAGCGGGCGAGCCCGGCGGCCGGGAGACGCCAGGGAACGGGGCUGGUGGGGGUACAAAGGCUCGGUUCCGUCGCCUUCAGCCCUGCGGUGGGGGCACGGGGCAAGUGAGGGGACGGCAGAGGCGGCGUUCGGUGUGAGGCUGCGCCCUGGGCUCCUGAAAAUCCAGGGCUGCAGUCAUUUGAAGGCUUGACUGGGGCUGGAGGAUUUUCAUCCAAGAUGGCUCACUCACCCAGCUGUUGGCAGGAGACCUCGGUUCUUUGACUUCUCCGUAAGACUGUGGACUGGGGACUAAAGGCAAUAGCUUGACUUCUGAAAAGGGCUGGACUGAAGGUCAGCCACAUGGGCAGUGUGAAGGAUCCCCAGCAAAACUCUGGACAUCAGUGGCUGGGCAAGCUUCUCUGGUUGGCGGUACUCUGCAUAUUGUCACACAUCAACUCUGGGAGAAGAUCAUACUGUUCAUGUCUCCACAAGGGGAGGACAGCUGGAAACUCAGUGUCUGGACCUCUUUCCUUGGCUGAUUUUAUUGUGUAUCCUUUCAUUACAAUAAGCUGUAGCCCUGAAUAUAACAGCUUUCAGUGGGCUCUGAGAGUCAUUUUAGUGAGUUAUCAAAACUAAGGGCAGUUUGGGAAUCCCCCUUACUCGUACUUGGUAUCAGAAGCAAGGAUGGCAACCUGUGGGGACUGGUCCCCCUAACCUACAUAGUUGGCCUCAACUCCUGCCAACUCUGUCUCUCUCUCAAACUAAACCCUAGAGUACCUUGUAAUUACUUACCCUUCUUUGAAGAAAGUUAUAUGCCUGAUUUCGUCCUUUUCUCAUUUCUCAUUUACACUUCAGCUAAUUGUGAUUAGACUUGUUCUCACUGUUCCACUCUAAAUGCUCUGACAGAGAUCAUGAAUAAUUGCCUGUUUGCAGCUCAGUCAUCUAUUUGGUAAUUAAACACAUUUUUAUUUAGUGUCACCACAAGUCAGGUAUAAUGUUGGGCCAUGAGAGUUCAGUGAUUACCAAAAUAAAAGCAUUCCUUGCCCUCACAGCACUUAUAGUCCAGUAGGGGGUUCAGGCAAGCCCUCAGAAAACAGCAUGCUAAGGUCUAUGUUAUGGGAAAUAGGGGAGCUAUGGCAGACUUCCUUGGGGCUGGGGGGGGUGGGUGGUCCCAGCCCCCUCUCCUUAGCAGUUGACACUAUUUUUUUUUUUUUUUUUUUUAGACGGAGUCUCACUCUGUUGCCAGGCUGGAGUGCAGUGGCACGAUCUCGGCUCACCACAACCUCUGCCACCUGGGUUCAAGCGAUUCUCCUGCCUCAGCCUCCUGAGUAGCUGGGAUUACAGGCAAGUGCCACCACGCCCAGCUAAUUUUUGUAUUUUUAGUAGAGACAGGAAUUCACCAUGUUGGCCAGGAUGGUCUUGAUCUCCUGACUUCGUGAUCCACCUGCCUCGGCCUCCCAAAGUGCUGGGAUUACAGGCAUGAGCCACUACACCCAGCUGAGCAUUUGACAUUAUUAACUAGCGCCUGGUUCUUUCUCCUGGGACUCCUAUUUUUCUGACUAUUUCUUCUCAUUUCCUUUGCUUAUACUUUUCCUUUGUGUACCUCUUAAACCCUGGUGUUUUCUGGCAUCUGAUCUCAGAAUUCUUCUCUCUCAUCUUUCUACACUCUCUCUAGUAGGUCUCCUUCACUUUGACCACUGUAAUUCCCACCCAAACACAAUGACUCUGCAUCUUUAUCGCUCACUUAGGCCACACCCCUGAGCUGUAGACAUGUAUCAUCAGCUCCCUUCUGGAUGUUCUUGCAUGACUCAAAUGGAACUUCACACGUUUCCCCCUCAGAACAGCUCUGCCUUCUGUGUUUCUGACAUUGGUGAAUAAUUAGUGUCGUCAUCUACCUAGGCACAGAUGCCAGAGACCUGGCUGUCGGCCUCCACUUCUCCCUCUCUUUACUGCCUCAUCCAGUCACCAAAGCCUUUGAGCCUACAGUGUUACGGACAUGUGCCAUUUUCUCCAUCCCUGGCAGCUGCGGUGCAGCCAUAUGACACGUAUUUGGCCAAUUGGUUGCUCACUUUGGAUUUUAAAUUUGGUUUCCCUUCUUCUAUCCAUGGCCUUUCAGUUUCGUUUCCAAAGAAUGCUUUUUAAAAAAUAUUAGUCAGGCCAGGCAUAGUGGCUCAUGCCUAUCAUCCCAACACUUGGGGAGGCAGAAGCCAAGGGAUCACUUGAGGCCAGGAAUUUGAGACCAGCGUGGGCAAGAUAGCAAGACCCUAUCUCUACAAAUUAAAAAAAAAAUUAGCCAUGUUUGGUGGUUCACACUUGUAGUUCCAGCUACUUGGAAAGCUGAGGCAGGAGGAUUGCUUAACCAGGAGUAUGAGGCUGCAGUGAGAUUAUACCACUGUGCUCCAGCCUGGGCAGCAGAGUGAGACCUUGUCUCUUAAAAAAAAAAAGUUAGAUCAUGUCACUCCCUGCUCAACAUUGUCUAAUAACUUUCCAUCAUAUUUAGUAUCAAAUUCAAAGUCAUGAUUGGUUGCCCGGAACAAUAAUGUUCUACAUGAUCAACUCGUAGCUCACUCUCCAUGUUCACUUCUGCCAUUUUCCUAUUGCUCAACUGCUCUCUAGCCCCCAUGUUGUGCCUACAGCCUGCCAAGCACACUCUGGACUCAGACAGCUGUUCCUUUUGCCUGACAUGUUCUUCUCACUGAUUUUUUUUUUUUUUUUUUUUUUUUUUUGAGACAGGAUCUCCCUCUGUCACCCAGGCUGGAGUACAGUGGUGCCAUCUCAGCUUACUGCAGCCUCAACCUCCUGGGGUCUAAGUGAUUCUCUCACUUCAGCCUCCUAAAUAGCUGUAACUACAGGCAUGCACUACCCCCAGCCCUGGCUACUUUUUUAAAAUUAUUAGUAGAGACGUAGUCUCCCUGUGUUGCCUGGGCUGGUCUCUAACCCCUGAGCUCAAGUGAUCCUCCCACCUUGGCCUCCCAAAGUGCUGGGAUUACAGGCAUGAGCCACCGCGCCUGGCCCUUCUCACUGCCUCUUACGUGAUUCACUCUCUUACUGCAGGUCUUCACUCAAAUGAGAGAGAGACUUUCUAUGACCAUCCUACUGAGUAAAAUAGCCACCACUCUCCCAAGUCAUUCUCUGAUCCGUACCCUACUUCAUUAUUGUUCAAAGCACUUCCCACGGUCCAAUGUUGUAUUGUUUACUCAUUUGCUUACUGGUCUAUUUUCUACCUCUCUGACUAGAAUGUAAACUCCACAGUGGCCAUGGGACAUGCCAGCAACACCUCCUUGUCAUCUAACGAUCAAAAUCAUGCAAUGCAUUGAUACCCCCUUGCGGGAAAGGUGCAGUGCAACCUCCAAAUGAGAACCAGUGCUAGAAGUGAACUGGACACAUAGGAAAUUGUGGUUAGAGAUGCAGAUGCUCCCUUUUUAAUUAUUAUUAUUAUUUGUAGAGAUGGGGUCCUGCUGUGUUGCCAAGGCUGGUCUCUAACUCCUAGGCUCAAGAGAUCCUCCCGCCUCAGACUCCCAAAGUGUUAGGAUUACAGGCAUGAGCCACCAUACCCGGCCUCAUUUUUAUUGACCUGAUUUCCGUCAUAGCCUGCAAGAUGCUUUGUUUUGAUUGUUUAUUUUCACUUCUGCCUCCUUCGGUAAACCUGUGAGUGUCCUGAGUGGGGGUCAAGAUUUGUUUGAGUGUAUGAUCUAAUCUGAAUACACACGUGUGUGUGCAUGUGUGUAUUUUUCUCCCUGUUGGAUUGCUCAGCCUCCACAGCCUGUUCUUCUCCACUGUGAUACACCAGGUGUCCUUCAGCAGGUGUAGUGAAACAAAGCAGAGGCUUUGACGUCACCCACGCUGGCCCUCGUGUGACUCACGGCCCAGCCCUGAGCCAGAAUCUGCUCCUGUUAUUACGGGUAUGAUUGUCUCCAUUUUACAAAUGAAGAUAUGGAGGCUCAUAUUCUUCAUCUGCAACUCAUUGAUGGAUAACCAGGUCGAGGUGACUGAUAGCCCUGCAGUCCUCUCUUCUCUCUAUGCUGAGGGAGAAUGACCUUUGAUUUGUGGCACUCACAGGGGCUGGCAAGGCCUGCAGUCAUUUGCAGCUGAUUCUGCUGCUUUGUGUCAUGAGACAUUAAGUGACCUGCUUGGAUUCACUGAACUAAUUAGUGGCAUAGCUGGGAUUGGAACUCAAUAUUCCCUUCUCCAAAUGAUGGGGUUCCCUCUGUGCUUGGUGUCUUCUUGACUUCUAAUGUGUCUGAAAUGCAUAAUUGUUAGAACCCUGGGCCCCUGUAACCUUCACCGGUCAACUCUCAUCACCCCAAGCACCCUGAUGGAUUCGCGGAGCACAGAGGACAAUCCCAGCAAACGUGUUUAUCAUCAAUGAGGGCUUUUGUUGCCGUCUCUUGUACCUUGGUGACUUGGGAUAGAGCACACAUAAACCUCCAGGAUUAUUUUUCACCCUUUUAGUUUAAGGACUAGGAUGAAUGAACAACUCUUGGCCUAUUUUGUUAACCUUAACUCACACCUACUUUUUGCCCUGUGACCGAGGCAUGAAAAUACGUGUUUUUUUCCUUUAGGCCUAGAACAAAGCUGCCACCUUCCCCCACAGUGGUGUUUUUUAAAUGCUUGGUUAUGACCAAUUAGAGGAUUGUAAAAUCAGUGUAGUGGGGUGACGAGCAUUAAAAAAUAGAACAGGAUAUAAAAUAAAAAAGUAGUAGUAGAGUACUGUUCUGUGAAAUCUUUUAUCAGUCAUGUGUGCAUAUGAAUGAAUGUGUACAUGUGUAUGUGUAUAUGUGUGCAUGUGCAUGUGAUCACAAUUUAAAAUGUAUUUCUCAUUAUACUUUGGGGUAAAAUAAUAGGUGUUUUCAACUUGCAGGUGAUAAUUAUGAUUUGGCAGAAUGUAUCCGAAUGUCAUACCACUCCAGGUAGAUUAGAGUCUCUGGAGGGAGGGGCUAG